AUUGUUUCUAUUGACAGGUGACAAACUAUAAUUUAUUUUAUUUUUUAAUCGUUUUUCUCUUGAAAAUAAUUUUGCUGGUUCAUAAAUGUGCAAGUAAUGCUAACUAGCGACAUAAGCUGACCAAUAUACAUGGCAGAAGAAGACAAAUCUUUUGUGAUAAUGCUGAACCAACCGACAUCAGUGUAGUGCCGGUGGCCGCCCCAGCCCCAAAACACCCUCCA
rnacentral:sRNA from 1 species